GACGAACGCUGGCGGCGUGCUUAACACAUGCAAGUCGAGCGGUAAGGCCCUUUCGGGGGUACACGAGCGGCGAACGGGUGAGUAACACGUGGGUGACCUGCCCUCAGCUCUGGGAUAAGCCUGGGAAACCGGGUCUAAUACUGGAUAUGACUCCAUGACGCAUGUUGUGGGGUGGAAAGCCUUGUGCGGCUGAGGAUGGGCCCGCGGCCUAUCAGCUUGUUGGUGGGGUGAUGGCCUACCAAGGCGACGACGGGUAGCCGGCCUGAGAGGGCGACCGGCCACACUGGGACUGAGACACGGCCCAGACUCCUACGGGAGGCAGCAGUGGGGAAUCUUGCG
rnacentral:rRNA from 1 species